UGUCCCACCAACAUAUAGGCGCGAGAGCAAAACUCAAAUUUCCCUCUAUGGCUAAUCUCUUUGUAUCCAUCUCCCUCCCUCAUCUCGAGCUAAUUCGAUCUCCUUCUGUCCCUCUCCCCAAACUCCAUGCUCCAUUCUUUUUCUGACAUCAUCGACCACCCUCUACUACUCCAUAUUCUCUCUUUCUUUCUCUCAUAUAUUGCGGGGUGCAAGUAGAAGUGCUUUAGAAAAAUCGAGUAAGCUACGACAGAAGCUGUUUUGAACGAAGUCUCAUUGGCGGAGAAGACUUAAGAAGAUCGGCCUGACAAUGUGGAUGAACUCCUUUUCUCCACAAACUGUUUGAAAGUCCACCAAAACCUUAAAGGCUAAAGCUCUGGACAGAGGAGUCUGGUCUAGGUUUUCUCAGGUUAUACAAAUGAACAUCCAGGAGCAUAAUUGCAAACAGAUUGUACAGGAUGGUGGUUCUUGAUUUUCUUAAGAAAGUCAAAAUAAUUCCAGAGCCAUAUUUUGCCACCAUCUGUAAACAGAUGCUCUAGUGUUUGUUGUAUCUUCAUCAUGACAAGCGCAUAAUCCACAGGGACUUGAAGCCUUCUAAUUUGUUAAUAAAUCAUAGAGAAGUCAAGAUAACUAACUUUGGUGUGAGUGCUACAUUGUCAAACACCUCUGGACUGGAUAUUUCUGCAUUUUCGUGGUGCUACUGGUAAAUAAGUACUUCUGUCUAGUAAAGGUUGUUUAUUUAGAAUUUGUGUUCCACAACCAGAGAAUAGUAGGAAACGAAUAUGGCUACAAGAGUGAUAUCUGGAGCUUGGGACUAGUUCUGCUAGAAUGUGCCAUAGGCUUACUACUACAGUGAUGGGUUUCUUACUACUGCAACAAACUUCCGCUUUCUGUUCAUUGGAGCCUUGAAAUGGAACCAAAUAUGGGACUUGUUUGCAGUCCUCGUGUACUGUGUCACGGUAAAAUAGAGUAUAGCAAUAGAUUGAUAAAAUAUCAUCUAAAUAGAAGAGAAAUGCUACUGCAUAAUGAUAUCCGCUCCUUAUUCAAUGAAUGCUCGGAAUCGUCCACUACUUUUGAUCAUGUGGUCAUUUACAUUUGUUCUUUACCAAAUUUGAAAUCUAUACCUCACAGUUAAGAUUUAAGUUCAUUCAUCUUAAUUGUGAUGCAACUAAUAAUUUUCUAGAGUUGGAUGGUUGAAUUGGUCAUAUUGCAUUCACAUUUUAUUGAAUGCAUUUGUACUAUUGUUCAACUAUAUUUCAAUGCUUUUUUUGAUAGAUAACAAGAUUCAUUGUAUUAUCAAAACAAAAGUAUAUAAUGUCCAACACUUCAAACAGUGAAAAUUAAUUCCAACCUCUAAGCCUUCUCUUUCUGGAACAAUGAUGCAAUUCAUGGUUCCUAUCAACUUGCCGCUUCUGCUUAAUACUUUCUCAUUUUUUGUUGUUUAAUUGCUUGUUUAAUGGUCACAUAAAUAGGUUGUUCAGGAUGGCGUGGACAUUAUCAAUCUCUCAGUGCAGCCAAACAGUCCUUCCACCAACAACCAGGACUACAUUUUGCCAUCAUAUGACAACAUGACUGCUUUGAUCCUAUAGUUCAUUCAACAACAGGUUGUGACCUUAUUUCAUCCAUGGUUUAUGGGUGAGCAAAGAUACUUUCCUUUGUAUCUUGUUAGAUAUUUUCUACUUGUUUUCCAUUUCUCUAAUGCUUUUACUGGUAGCCAUUUUGUUUUUAUCUCUAUGUUAUGCUGAAUUUUGAGCUUCAGAAAUUUACACGUAUUGAUUUUACAGUCGGGGGGUUUUAUACUGAAAUAUUAUACUUAAACCCUUAGAUUUGGUAGUUUGUUAAAAUUGUGCUAAAAUAUUAUUAUCUUUAACAAUAAUCAGCAUUAUACUAUUGACUAAAUUACAGAUUGUUAUAUGGUAAUUCUCAUGCAUGAUAAACCUAUGAUCAAGGCAUAAGUAUUUUCUAUGCUUAGAUUAUUGUAUUCUUUGGUAGAUGUUUAUUGUGUUUACAAUUUAGGAUAAUAAAUAUUAUUAUUAUUUGGUAGUUUGUUAAAAUUGUGCUAAAAUAUUAUUAUCUUUAACAAUAAUCAGCAUUAUACUAUUGACUAAAUUACAGAUUGUUAUAUGGUAAUUCUCAUGCAUGAUAAACCUAUGAUCAAGGCAUAAGUAUUUUCUAUGCUUAGAUUAUUGUAUUCUUUGGUAGAUGUUUAUUGUGUUUACAAUUUAGGAUGAUAAAUAUUGAAUGAUAAAUAUUAUGUUGGACCAACAUAAUAUUGAAGGCCAUAGGCCACUCCUACGGAUAGUCCUACACGUUGAGGAUGAUAAAUAUUGAAGGCCAUAGGCCACUCGGUCCAACAUUCAGCAAGGAUGAGAUUGGGUCCAAUAUAAAUGCAGAAGCCACCAUGAGACCUCUUAUCAUCUCGACAGCCUGCCCAGUCAGCAUUUAAGAAAGCUGAAAGGUGGAAUGAGGAGGAGGUGAAAGUGAGGCCAAGGUCAAUCGUGCCCUUCAAAUAUCGAAGGACGCACUUGAGAGUGUGGAGGUGAUCUAAAGUGGGGUGGUGUAAAACUUGGCAUAACUUGUUCACUGUGAAGGAGAUUUCAGGACAUGUGAUUCUAACAUAUUGAAGUGCUCCUGCAAUUUGCUUGUAUUCUGUGGGAUUGGCAAGUGACAACCAACAUCCUUGGAGAGAGUGGAACCAGCAGCCAUGGAGUGGUAACCGGUUUUGCAGAGGCCAUCUAUGUCUUGUGAAGAAAAUCAGCAAUGUAUUUGUGUUGAGAUAAGUGAAGUGAAUGGCCGGUGUGGAGGACCUUCCCAGGAAAAUAAUGAAGAGAGCCCGAAUCCUUGAUGGAGAAAACACGACCCAAAGAAGAGAUAAGAGUAGAGACUGCAGCAGAAUUGGACACCGUGACAAUUAUGUCAUCAGCAUACGCCAGAACAAGCAUGGUCUCAAGUGAAGAAUGAUGUAUAAAUAAUAGACAGGAAUCGACAACAGAGGCAAGAAAUCCAAAAUCCCUAAGGAAAUCACUUAGUUUUUGAUACCAGACCGUAGGUGCCUGUUAGAGCCCAUAUAGUGCUUUCCAUAAUCGACAAACAUGAGUAGGAUGAGUGCUGUCAGUGGGGCAUGGGGGAUGAGACAUGUAGACAACCUCUUAUGAAUCACCGUGAAGGAAAGCGGUGUUCACAUCAAGUUGGCGUAGCACCCAACCUUUAUAGAGAGCAGUAUGAAGAAUUACCUGUACAGUAAUGGGUUUUAUAACUAGGCUGAAAGUGUCUGCAUAAUCAAGGUUUCCACUAAACGAGCUUUGAAUCAAUCAAUGGUACCAUCGGGUUUUCAUUUAAUACGAAAGACCCACUUACAAUCCACAAGAUUGGCAUUGGGAGGGGGAGAACAAAGGGACCAGGUGCCAUUUUGAUGAAGUGCAUUUAAUUCUUCCAGCAUAGCUGCACACCACUAUGGAUGCGAGAGAGCUUGGUGGAUAGUUUUGGGUUCAGUGCUGUCAAGGGACAAGGGGUACUUGGUGGAGUGGUAGAGUUUUGGAUUGAGAUUUCCCAUAAGAGAUCAGGUGAGCAUUGGAUGGGAACGAGUGAUAGGAGGAGGUGGGGCAAUUGGAGCGGGUUCCGGUGAAACGGAAGGUGGAGGGGAUGACUGUUCAUGUGAUGUGGGAUGAUGGUUGUGCAGGUUUGGUGGUGUUGUAGAUGGAAGAGAAACAUCCGAUGGUGGUUCAGUGGUGAGUGGUUGUUCAGGUGAUGAGGGAUCUGGGGGUUGUUGUUGGGGUUCAAGAGAGGAAAGAGGACUGGUGUGAAAGAUAAUGUCAUGGAGAGGUUGCAGGCGAGGUGGUGGUGAGACAGUGAUGGGAUGGUGAAGGGGAUGAUGGUGACAGUGGAUGUGGUGAUGAUGGCAGCAAACGGACAAGUGGCAGCGGUCCAAGAGUAAGACAGUGCUGUGAUGGUGGAGAGUUGCACCGGUGCUGUUCAGUGAAUGAGAAAUUUUUCUCAUUAAACACCAUGUGACGAGAAAUAUAAAUCCGUCUGAAGACACUUGAAUCCCUUGGUGUUGUCACAGACUCACAGUAGCCAAUGAAGACACAAGAUGUACUACGAAAAUCCAGCUUGUGAUCAUUAUAUAAGCGUAUAUAUGGAAAGCCUUCACACCCAAAUGUUCGGAGAGAGAGAUAAUUAGGUUUGCAUCCAAAUAAGCAUUCCCACGGUGAUUUGUAAUUGAGAACUUUAGUAGGUAAUCUAUUAUGAAAGGCCUCAAACCAAUAGGAUUUCGGUACUGAAGCAGUAGAUAAGAGUGCAGGACCAAAUUCCACAAUAUGGCGAUAUUCGCGUUCUGCCGUGCCAUUCUAUUGAGGAGUGUGGGGACAGGGUGUAUUCAGAGGCCACAUCACUCUUAUUUAAGGGUUUCAAAGGCUUGUAUUCAGAGCCACUAUAUGUCUGAAACAAUUUUA